AUUGAACGCUGGCGGCAUGCCUUACACAUGCAAGUCGAACGGCAGCACGGGAGCUUGCUCCUGGUGGCGAGUGGCGAACGGGUGAGUAACGCAUCGGAACGUGCCCAGUGGUGGGGGAUAGCCCGGCGAAAGCCGGAUUAAUACCGCAUACGACCUACGGGUGAAAGCGGGGGACCUUUCGGGGCCUCGCGCCAUUGGAGCGGCCGAUGUCAGAUUAGGUAGCUGGUGGGGUAAAGGCCUACCAAGGCGACGAUCCGUAGCGGGUCUGAGAGGAUGAUCCGCCACACUGGAACUGAGACACGGUCCAGACUCCUACGGGAGGCAGCAGUGGGGAAUUUUGGACAAUGGGCGAAAGCCUGAUCCAGCCAUGCCGCGUGAGUGAAGGAGGCCUUCGGGUUGUAAAGCUCUUUCGGCUGAAAAGAAUCACACAGGCUAAUACCUAGUGUGGAUGACGGUGUCAGCAUAAGAAGCACCGGCUAACUACGUGCCAGCCGCCGCGGUAAGAC
rnacentral:rRNA from 1 species